CGUGUGCUGCGUGUUUGUCGCUCGGCCCUGGUCUUCCUGGGGAUCCAAGAGGCUGGCGCUGGGUGUGGCGCGGAGAGUGUCGUUACCGGGCACCAGCGUAGCGUUGUGGCAACGACUGCAAGACGAUACUGUCCCCCCUGGGGCAAGAUGUGCGCCGGAGUUCCCCAGUUGCCCAUCGCACCGACUCUUCUCUGGGUUCUGAUAGGCCUCCCACCCUGAGUCCCUGUAGAGGUAAAACUGUUAAUACAGGAAGGUAGAGGGGAGAACUGGUGUAAAAAGUCAAAAGGUGUUAUUCGGCUAAUAAAGUAUGCCUGUACCCCUGCUUCUUAGUUGUGUGGUCUCCCGAAGAGAUUUCUACCAGGCAUAAUCUCCUGUGAGUAGAUUACAGUCUCCAGAAUCAAAUCGGCAGGUGGUCAGGAAAGGUAUUAAUAGUCAAUACUUAAAGUUGACCACCUUCUUAAAUUGCACUUGGAUUUUAUAGUCAUAGUCACAAAUGGUCUUCAAAUAGAAAAUAUUUAGGCAUACCCUUCCCCACAUCUUUUAUUACUGCGUUUUCCAACGGACACAUUACAGAUGCAGUCAUUUUAAAGAUCUAGCCUUUCAAUCUGCCCAACUCCACUAACCUCACCCCCAGCGAAUGGCCUCAUUCUUCAAAUAGGGGUUUGUAUCUCUUCAUUUUUUUUGUUUGCAUGGGUGUAGGAUUUCCGACCCCCUGCCCCCCACCGCGCGACCCUUUUCAACUAGCUAGUGUAUGUUUACUGCACUGCCUGUUCUUUGGCCUGUCAAUUCAUUUGGCCUAUUAAAUGGACUAGGAGGGUGCAAAAAGAGACUAGAAGGAAUUAUUUCAAAGUAAUAUGGUAGGGGGGACGGUUGUAAGCGUGUGAUUAUGGGGUGAUUUAUCUUUUGUCACUUCUCCAAAUUUCCAAAUGUAAUUGUCAUUUUUACAGCGAAAAAACAAAAGCGGCUCUGGAUUAGUGAUUCUUGUUGAAAGACAAAAACAAAACAAAGACCCUAUGGAUGCAUAUCAACAUAUAAAUGUCCUUGUAAAAAUGGAGUAUGGAAAUACAUUCUUUCUUACUGUGUGGUCUUAGCCCAAUUUACCCUUCUCCGUGCUUCUAUCCUCACCUUCAAAAAUAUAGUAUUUAUCUUAUCUGGUAGUUCUGAGUAUUAAAGAUAACAGAAAUACAGAUGUUUG
rnacentral:lncRNA from 10 species